UACGAAGGGGGCUAGCGUUGCUCGGAAUCACUGGGCGUAAAGCGCACGUAGGCGGGUCCUUAAGUCGGGGGUGAAAUCCCGGAGCUCAACUCCGGAACUGCCUUCGAUACUGGGGACCUCGAGUCCGGGAGAGGUGAGUGGAACUGCGAGUGUAGAGGUGAAAUUCGUAGAUAUUCGGAAGAACACCAGUGGCGAAGGCGGCUCACUGGCCCGGUACUGACGCUGAGGUGCGAAAGCGUGGGGAGCAAACAGG
rnacentral:rRNA from 1 species